rnacentral:rRNA from 1 species
AGCGUACACGGUGGAUGCCCUGGCAGUCAGAGGCGAUGAAGGACGUGCUAAUCUGCGAUAAGCGUCGGUAAGGUGAUAUGAACCGUUAUAACCGGCGAUUUCCGAAUGGGGAAACCCAGUGUGUUUCGACACACUAUCAUUAACUGAAUCCAUAGGUUAAUGAGGCGAACCGGGGGAACUGAAACAUCUAAGUACCCCGAGGAAAAGAAAUCAACCGAGAUUCCCCCAGUAGCGGCGAGCGAACGGGGAGGAGCCCAGAGCCUGAAUCAGUGUGUGUGUUAGUGGAAGCGUCUGGAAAGGCGCGCGAUACAGGGUGACAGCCCCGUACACAAAAAUGCACAUAUUGUGAGCUCGAUGAGUAGGGCGGGACACGUGGUAUCCUGUCUGAAUAUGGGGGGACCAUCCUCCAAGGCUAAAUACUCCUGACUGACCGAUAGUGAACCAGUACCGUGAGGGAAAGGCGAAAAGAACCCCGGCGAGGGGAGUGAAAAAGAACCUGAAACCGUGUACGUACAAGCAGUGGGAGCCUCUUUUAUGGGGUGACUGCGUACCUUUUGUAUAAUGGGUCAGCGACUUAUAUUCUGUAGCAAGGUUAACCGAAUAGGGGAGCCGAAGGGAAACCGAGUCUUAACUGGGCGUUAAGUUGCAGGGUAUAGACCCGAAACCCGGUGAUCUAGCCAUGGGCAGGUUGAAGGUUGGGUAACACUAACUGGAGGACCGAACCGACUAAUGUUGAAAAAUUAGCGGAUGACUUGUGGCUGGGGGUGAAAGGCCAAUCAAACCGGGAGAUAGCUGGUUCUCCCCGAAAGCUAUUUAGGUAGCGCCUCGUGAAUUCAUCUCCGGGGGUAGAGCACUGUUUCGGCAAGGGGGUCAUCCCGACUUACCAACCCGAUGCAAACUGCGAAUACCGGAGAAUGUUAUCACGGGAGACACACGGCGGGUGCUAACGUCCGUCGUGAAGAGGGAAACAACCCAGACCGCCAGCUAAGGUCCCAAAGUCAUGGUUAAGUGGGAAACGAUGUGGGAAGGCCCAGACAGCCAGGAUGUUGGCUUAGAAGCAGCCAUCAUUUAAAGAAAGCGUAAUAGCUCACUGGUCGAGUCGGCCUGCGCGGAAGAUGUAACGGGGCUAAACCAUGCACCGAAGCUGCGGCAGCGACACUAUGUGUUGUUGGGUAGGGGAGCGUUCUGUAAGCCUGUGAAGGUGUACUGUGAGGUAUGCUGGAGGUAUCAGAAGUGCGAAUGCUGACAUAAGUAACGAUAAAGCGGGUGAAAAGCCCGCUCGCCGGAAGACCAAGGGUUCCUGUCCAACGUUAAUCGGGGCAGGGUGAGUCGACCCCUAAGGCGAGGCCGAAAGGCGUAGUCGAUGGGAAACAGGUUAAUAUUCCUGUACUUGGUGUUACUGCGAAGGGGGGACGGAGAAGGCUAUGUUGGCCGGGCGACGGUUGUCCCGGUUUAAGCGUGUAGGCUGGUUUUCCAGGCAAAUCCGGAAAAUCAAGGCUGAGGCGUGAUGACGAGGCACUACGGUGCUGAAGCAACAAAUGCCCUGCUUCCAGGAAAAGCCUCUAAGCAUCAGGUAACAUCAAAUCGUACCCCAAACCGACACAGGUGGUCAGGUAGAGAAUACCAAGGCGCUUGAGAGAACUCGGGUGAAGGAACUAGGCAAAAUGGUGCCGUAACUUCGGGAGAAGGCACGCUGAUAUGUAGGUGAAGUCCCUCGCGGAUGGAGCUGAAAUCAGUCGAAGAUACCAGCUGGCUGCAACUGUUUAUUAAAAACACAGCACUGUGCAAACACGAAAGUGGACGUAUACGGUGUGACGCCUGCCCGGUGCCGGAAGGUUAAUUGAUGGGGUUAGCGCAAGCGAAGCUCUUGAUCGAAGCCCCGGUAAACGGCGGCCGUAACUAUAACGGUCCUAAGGUAGCGAAAUUCCUUGUCGGGUAAGUUCCGACCUGCACGAAUGGCGUAAUGAUGGCCAGGCUGUCUCCACCCGAGACUCAGUGAAAUUGAACUCGCUGUGAAGAUGCAGUGUACCCGCGGCAAGACGGAAAGACCCCGUGAACCUUUACUAUAGCUUGACACUGAACAUUGAGCCUUGAUGUGUAGGAUAGGUGGGAGGCUUAGAAGUGUGGACGCCAGUCUGCAUGGAGCCGACCUUGAAAUACCACCCUUUAAUGUUUGAUGUUCUAACGUUGACCCGUGAUCCGGGUUGCGGACAGUGUCUGGUGGGUAGUUUGACUGGGGCGGUCUCCUCCUAAAGAGUAACGGAGGAGCACGAAGGUUGGCUAAUCCUGGUCGGACAUCAGGAGGUUAGUGCAAUGGCAUAAGCCAGCUUGACUGCGAGCGUGACGGCGCGAGCAGGUGCGAAAGCAGGUCAUAGUGAUCCGGUGGUUCUGAAUGGAAGGGCCAUCGCUCAACGGAUAAAAGGUACUCCGGGGAUAACAGGCUGAUACCGCCCAAGAGUUCAUAUCGACGGCGGUGUUUGGCACCUCGAUGUCGGCUCAUCACAUCCUGGGGCUGAAGUAGGUCCCAAGGGUAUGGCUGUUCGCCAUUUAAAGUGGUACGCGAGCUGGGUUUAGAACGUCGUGAGACAGUUCGGUCCCUAUCUGCCGUGGGCGCUGGAGAACUGAGGGGGGCUGCUCCUAGUACGAGAGGACCGGAGUGGACGCAUCACUGGUGUUCGGGUUGUCAUGCCAAUGGCACUGCCCGGUAGCUAAAUGCGGAAGAGAUAAGUGCUGAAAGCAUCUAAGCACGAAACUUGCCCCGAGAUGAGUUCU